GACGAACGCUGGCGGCGUGGAUUAGGCAUGCAAGUCGAACGGUAUCAUCCUUUCGGGGGUGAGAGAGUGGCGAACUGGUGAGUAACACGUAGGUUAUCUACCCUCAAGACGGGGACAACCCAGGGAAACUUGGGCUAAUACCGGAUGUGAGCAACUUUUAGUUGUUUGAAAGGUGGCGUAAGCUGUCGCUUGGGGAUGAGCCUGCGUCCUAUUAGUUAGUUGGUGAGGUAACGGCUCACCUAGGCAAUGAUAGGUAGGCGGCCUUAACGGGUGGUCGCCCACACUGGGAUUGAGAUACGGCCCAGACUCCUACGGGAGGCAGCAGUCGAGAAUAGUCUACAAUGGUCGGAAGACUGAUAGUGCGACGCCGCGUGAACGAUGAAUCCCUUCGGGGUGUAAAGUUCUUUUAUAUGUGAGCAGUGCUUCUUAUAUUAGCAGUAUGGGGAGAGAGAUAUUAGCAUAUGAAUAAGCAACGGCUAACUCCGUGCCAGCAGCCGCGGU
rnacentral:rRNA from 1 species